rnacentral:misc_RNA from 1 species
GAUGAAGAACGCAGCGAAAUGCGAUAAGUAAUGUGAAUUGCAGAAUUCAGUGAAUCAUCGAAUCUUUGAACGCACAUUGCGCCCCCUGGUAUUCCGGGGGGCAUGCCUGUUCGAGCGUCAUUACGCCCCUCAAGUCCCCUGUGGACUUGGUGUUGGGGAUCGGCGAGGCUGGUUUUCCAGCACAGCCGUCCCUUAAAUUAAUUGGCGGUCUCGCCGUGGCCCUCCUCUGCGCAGUAGUAAAACACUCGCAACAGGAGCCCGGCGCGGUCCACUGCCGUAAAACCCCCCAACUUUUUAUAGUUGACCUCGAAUCAGGUAGGACUACCCGCUGAACUUAAGCAUAUCAAUAAGCGGAGGA